AGCAGUCGCCACGGGAAUACGGAGGGGGCUAGCGUUGUUCGGAAUUACUGGGCGUAAAGCGCACGUAGGCGGCUUGGUAAGUUAGAGGUGAAAGCCCAGGGCUCAACCCUGGAAUUGCCUUUAAGACUGCCGAGCUAGUAGGUGAGAGAGGUAAGUGGAAUUCCGAGUGUAGAGGUGAAAUUCGUAGAUAUUCGGAAGAACACCAGUGGCGAAGGCGGCUUACUGGCUCAUUCUAGACGCUGAGGUGCGAAAGCGUGGGGAGCAAACAGGAUUAGAUACCCCAGUAGUCCCUGUCUCUUAUAC
rnacentral:rRNA from 1 species